rnacentral:rRNA from 1 species
CCUGCGACCAUAUCGCGUUGAAACACUAGUUCUUGUACGAUCACCGAAGUUAAGCAACGUCGAACCUGGUCAAUACCUAGAUGAGUGACCGCUUGGGAAUACCAGAUGUUGAA